rnacentral:rRNA from 1 species
CCUACGGGAGGCAGCAGUGGGGAAUAUUGGGCAAUGGGCGCAAGCCUGACCCAGCAACGCCGCGUGAAGGAAGAAGGCUUUCGGGUUGUAAACUUCUUUUCUCAGGGACGAAGCAAGUGACGGUACCUGAGGAAUAAGCCACGGCUAACUACGUGCCAGCAGCCGCGGUAAUACGUAGGUGGCAAGCGUUAUCCGGAUUUACUGGGUGUAAAGGGCGUGUAGGCGGGAAAGCAAGUCAGAUGUGAAAACCAUGGGCUCAACCUGUGGCCUGCAUUUGAAACUGUUUUUCUUGAGUACUGGAGAGGCAGACGGAAUUCCUAGUGUAGCGGUGAAAUGCGUAGAUAUUAGGAGGAACACCAGUGGCGAAGGCGGUCUGCUGGACAGUAACUGACGCUGAGGCGCGAAAGCGUGGGGAGCAAACAGGAUUAGAUACCCCUAUAGUC